GAGACUGUUGUGUUUUAUAAUGACCCUACCUCGCCCUUCAUUCAGCGAUACUCAUUCCGUUCGUUUGCUUUCAAGGGAUACAACCCACAGGUAUACAUUCACUGUAAAGUCUUCAUUUGUGACGUGGAGGAUUCAGAAUGUAUCCCAUCAUGCAAUCGGUCUAGACGUCGAAGAAACGCAAGCCAGAAUACCAUCACGAGAGACAUCAGAAGCUAUCGACGUCAGUUUAACCAUCAUUAAUGAAAAUCUGUCCCCGUUCUCUUUAAGAACGUGAAAGGACGCAAACUUUCUUUCAUGUUUAUGUUCAAAAGAUAAAAGAACAAUUUUUAGGCCUCCCCCAUAAUAUGGUGCAAUUCUGCUACGAUAGCAGCUCCAUCUGCUACGAUAGCAGCACCCUCUGUCAAAUACGCGAAUAGGUGGAUGCAAAUCUUCACCCCAAUCGCACCCUUAUUUGUUAGUGUGUAGGGCCUUUAUUGGUUCGAACACUAG